rnacentral:rRNA from 1 species
UACGGAGGAUGCAAGCGUUAUCCGGAAUGAUUGGGCGUAAAGCGUCCGCAGGUGGCUGUGUAAGUCUGCUGUCAAAGAGCAAAGCUCAACUUUGUAAAGGCAGUGGAAACUACACGGCUAGAGUGCGUUCGGGGCAGAGGGAAUUCCUGGUGUAGCGGUGAAAUGCGUAGAUAUCAGGAAGAACACCGGUGGCGAAAGCGCUCUGCUAGGCCGCAACUGACACUGAGGGACGAAAGCUAGGGGAGCGAAUGGG